GGUCUCAGGAGGUGCUACUAUCGGGUUCGUGUUCUUCCAUGGGUUUUAUUACAUCCUAUUCAAUUGUUUUACUCUGGUUAUGCUACAUGUUCUUCAAUGGGUUUUAUUACAUCCUAUUCAAUUGUUUUACUCUGGUUAUGCUAUCACAGUGGAUCUAAUUUGAUUCCUUUUCUUUGCAGGUUAGUAUCAUGGAUUCACGAUUUUGAGUAAGGUACCUUUUUGGUAAUUCAUCUCCUUUCCUCCUUCAAUUUCAAAUUUCAGUACAGCAGUGAUGUUGCUUUCUUCUCCUUCGAAUUUUGAUCAAAAUUUCCCAGUACGUGCAUUGCUGGCCUCUGAAUUUAUUUCUCUUCAGCGAUGGAUAAUGGUCAGUUUGCUACUUCUCUCUGAUGUUUCAUGAUGUACGCCUCCCAAAUACACCGGUCAGUACCUCUUUUCCAUCGCAUCAUAAUUUCUACCCAUUAACACUGAUCCUCAUGUGUUGCCGAUAAUAGAGAAUGUUGCAGAGGAUGAAACUAUCACCGGUCAGUACCACUUCUGCGUGAUUUUGAAUAUUAGUUUAUCCAGUUCUUUUCUGUUAUUUCAGCGAUAUGGAUCAAGCAUGUUAGUAGUUGUCCUUUCAUAAUCGACAAUUACACAUUGUGUAUUUGAUUGAUCGACUCAGUACAAUCUAAAAUAGAUCAUAAAAGAGGUUUUUCCGGUGUCGGCGCUUUCUUUACACGCUUCUUAUAGGUAAAAACGAAGGUACGUGCUUUGUUGGUUUUUGGUAGAAUUAUGUAUGGACCGGGAUUACAACUUUUUUCUGUGGGUGUGUAUAUAUGAAUAUAUGAAAUAUGUAUUGAGAUCUUAGUUUAGUAUUUGCAUAACCUGUAUUUUUAGUAAUCGAUAGUACUGCGUUUUCAAUUCUUGACACUGUAAAUCAGUCGUGAAUCGUGAUCUUAUUCUUAAAUUUAGACCUAUGCCUUUGCCCUAAUAAUUUAUCUCAAUACAUAUUUAGGCUCAUGAUAUAUUUUUGAUUUUUUUUUUCAGAUUCCAAAUGCGGCGUUAUGACAUGUGUACUAUCAUAAUCCUUAGUUCAAUUACCAAACUGGAUUCAGAUUGUAAAAUCAUAUACAAGAUUCAAGGAUUCUGCUUUGGCUAUUAGUGAAGUUUCGAGCAAUGCACCAUAGAAGAUUUAUCAGGUUAGUAGUUUAUAAGUUUUACAUUAUGAAUCAAUCAGCUUUAGAUUAUUUAUCUUUACCAUUUUAAUUUAGAUAUUUAGGCUCUUGGUAUAUCUUUGAUUUUAUUUUUUUCAGAUUCCAAGUGCGGAGUCAUGACAUGUAUACUAUCAUAAUCGUUAAUUCAAGUACCAAACCGGAUUUAAGAUUGUAAAAUCAUAUACAGGAUUCCAGGAUUCCUCAUUGGCUAUUAGUGAAGUUUCGGGCAAUGCAUCACAGAAGAUUUAUCUGGUUAGUAGUUUGUAAGUGUUUUUUUUACAUUAUGAAUCAAUCAGCCUUAGAUUAAUUAUCUUUGCCAUUUUAAUUUAGAAUUACGUAAAUUAGUUAGUUAUGGCUAAUUGUAAUGUUAGAUAUGUCCAAACAAGCUCCUCUAUGUCCCCGUCUCGCCCCUCUUCAACACAAAAUGCUUAUAACUAUGAUUUACUUGCUAUCGUAUACACCCUGUAGCAUGAUUUUUAUAGUAGUUCACAAGUGUCAUUCUUUAGUUUUCUUGAGUUGGUUGCGGAAAGAAUAUUCUGUACAUUAUACAUAGUGUCUCUAUGCAUAGAUUGAUCUCCAAUAGUGCAUUCAGCUCCAUUCAGUCCGCGUCCUAAUACAUGGUUUGGAAUGGUAUGAAUCUUAGUCACAAAAUGUCCAUAUUUUGCAUCAAGGAUCUAAUGUGCUCAAUUUUGUUAGUGUCAAGUGUUCUGAGAAUUCAAUUCAAUUCUAGAUUUUGUAUUUUCUUAUCAUUUAUGUCGAGAUUCUAGAUUUUAAUCUCUGGUUUAUCAAAAUGAUUUUACAGGUCUUGGAAUGGAUAUAAUCUCAAUUCUUGCAGUGAACAACAAAAUAAAUACGGAUGCUAUCACCAUAUCUCGCAGCCUCCUUAUGAUUUGUAUGUGAAAUUUACAUCAUAAAAUUAUUCGAUCUGUUUUUCUGAUUGAGUUCUUAAGCUCUUCCAUCAUAUAAUGAUUUUUGAUAUUAUUUAUUGCAUAUCCUCUGUUUCUUUUUCAGAAUUAGAAAAAUUGAUUUUUUUUAUACAUGUCUUGCUUAAUUCCGAAUUUUAGUUACUUUUUCUUUUCGAUUUUCUCUUUUAAUUAUCAACAAUUGAUAAGUUGGGUACUAAUAUAACCAUCAUGUGUUCAAGAUAUGCAGGAUUUGCAUAGCUCACUGAUGAAG
rnacentral:lncRNA from 1 species